rnacentral:tRNA from 1 species
ACGGGGGUCGCCAAGCCUGGUCAACGGCGAUGGAUUUAAGCUCCAUUCCUUAGUGGUUCGUGGGUUCGAAUCCCACCCCCCGUA